AACGAACGCUGGCGGCAUGCCUAACACAUGCAAGUCGAACGAGACCUGCGGGUCUAGUGGCGCACGGGUGCGUAACGCGUGGGAACCUGCCCUUAGGUUCGGAAUAACUCCCCGAAAGGGGUGCUAAUACCGGAUAAUGUCUUCGGACCAAAGAGUUAUCGCCUUUGGAUGGGCCCGCGUUGGAUUAGCUAGUUGGUAGGGUAAAAGCCUACCAAGGCGACGAUCCAUAGCUGGUCUGAGAGGAUGAUCAGCCACACUGGGACUGAGACACGGCCCAGACUCCUACGGGAGGCAGCAGUGGGGAAUAUUGGACAAUGGGCGAAAGCCUGAUCCAGCAAUGCCGCGUGAGUGAUGAAGGCCUUAGGGUUGUAAAGCUCUUUUACCCGGGAUGAUAAUGACAGUACCGGGAGAAUAAGCUCCGGCUAACUCCGUG
rnacentral:rRNA from 1 species